AGGAGUUUGAUCCUGGCUCAGAUUGAACGCUGGCGGCAUGCUUUACACAUGCAAGUCGAACGGCAGCACGGGGGCAACCCUGGUGGCGAGUGGCGAACGGGUGAGGAAUGCACCGGAACGUAUCUUCAAGUGGGGGAUAACGCAUCGAAAGGUGUGCUAAUACCGCAUAAUCUCUGAGGAGAAAAGCAGGGGAUCGCAAGACCUUGCGCUUUUGGAGCGGCCGAUGCCUGAUUAGCUUGUUGGUGAGGUAAAAGCUCACCAAGGCUCCGAUCAGUAGCUGGUCUGAGAGGACGACCAGCCACACUGGGACUGAGACACGGCCCAGACUCCUACGGGAGGCAGCAGUGGGGAAUUUUGGACAAUGGGGGCAACCCUGAUCCAGCCAUGCCGCGUGAGUGAAGAAGGCCUUCGGGUUGUAAAGCUCUUUCAGCCGGAACGAAACGGUCACGGUUAAUACCCGUGACUACUGACGGUACCGGAAGAAGAAGCACCGGCUAACUACGUGCCAGCAGCCGCGGUAAUACGUAGGGUGCGAGCGUUAAUCGGAAUUACUGGGCGUAAAGCGUGCGCAGGCGGUUUUGUAAGUCAGAUGUGAAAUCCCCGGGCUUAACCUGGGAACUGCGUUUGAAACUGCAAGGCUAGAGUGUGGCAGAGGGGGGUGGAAUUCCGCGUGUAGCAGUGAAAUGCGUAGAUAUGUGG
rnacentral:rRNA from 1 species